ACGGAGGGUGCAAGCGUUAUUCGGAAUUACUGGGCGUAAAGCGCGUGCAGGCGGCCCUGCAAGUCUGAUGUGAAAGCCCCGGGCUCAACCCGGGAACUGCAUUGGAAACUGCAUGUCUUGAGUACUGGAGAGGAAGGCGGAAUUCCAGGUGUAGAGGUGAAAUGCGUAGAGAUGGGGAGGAACACCGAUGGCGAAGGCAGCCAACUGGACCAUAACUGACGCUCAUGCGCGAAAGCGUGGGGAGCAAACAG
rnacentral:rRNA from 1 species